AUGGCUGCCACCCAGCGCGAGUUGUUCGCUUUUGAGGCGGUGUGGGGACUCUACUGAGGCGAACCGAGCGGGUCUCCUGCGGCUCUGCUCCCCCAGCCUGUGAGCAGCGCCCGCGACCUUUGCUGAGCCCAGCGCUGCCCAGAAUGCGUUCCCCUCUGACCCUGGCCUCAGGAGAGUUGGUGAGCUCUGUUAUCGUGACCUCGGACCGCAUUCCAAACUCUCAUGCCUUCAUUCCGUAAACUCCGCAGUCCUGGCUCCUUAGGAGAAGGAACUCAUAGAGUAGGUGGGGAGUUAUGGAAAACAUCUUUACUGCAGGGGCUGGUGGGCUGGCAGAGGAGGUGGAGGACAGAGUUCUUCAUGCUGCUUCUGUUCCUUUUGGAGACAUCGCAGAUACUUAGUUUCUUCUGGUGAAACAGAGAGAUAGAGCCAGAGAGGACAAGCAGGGAGAAUGGCAGAGAGAAGAGGAGAAGCAGGCUCCCCACGAGCAGGGAGCCCGACGGGAGGCUCGAUCACAGGAUCCUGGGAUCAUGACCCAAGUUGAAGGCAGAUGCUUAACCAACAGAGCCACACAUGGAGUGAAUAACUGAUAAACAACUUGAACUACGUUCUCUUAUAGAGAUUGACCUCAUUCCUUGGCUUUUGGUUCCUUCUGUCUUCAAGCCAGCAGUGGCCAGUGUGGGCAGUGAUGACUGCCCAAAGAAGUUUUCUGGGAAGACUCUUGAAGAGAAUAAAGAGGAAGAAGGGUCGGAGCCUGCCAGAGGGGAACCCAGGAGGGGGAGCCCAUGGCAAAAAAGGCCCGCUCAAACCCUCAGGUGUACAUGGACACCAAGACUGGGAACAAGCCAGUCGGCCACAUCCAGAUGCUGCAUUCGGACGUUGUCCUGGUGAUGGCAGGUGAGCGGGACUCAAGGCGGGAUGCUGGAGGCCGAGCAGGCUGGGGAGGAAGCUGCCUGGAAUCGGAGACUUUAGCACUUUUUAUCUGAGCCCUUCCGAGGCAUCCGGAACCCCAGCAUUUCGUCACAUGAGUCUGAGCACACAGUUUUGAAGUUCUAUAAAGGCUUAGGGACCAUUAGAAAGAAUAGGCAGUUGAAACUCAUAAAUUGUAUAUAUUUUUUUUUUUUUAGUUUUGUUUUGAUAUGUUUGCAGGCUUACAGAUAAGUGGAAUAAGAAUUCUGUAAGAAUUGGAGGAGUCAAGAUGGCGGAGAAGUAGCAGGCUGAGACUACUUCAGG